AUGGUGGUAACUUCCUGUUGGGAGGAUUUACCAGUGAAGACGACGGUGGGCGUACUUCGAUCUGCACCUUGGAAGAGGGAGGAGUUGCACGGACGCGGCAAGGCUACGGGCGAAGCUGGGUGGCGCGGCGCAGCGGUGCCAUUGCACGCGGCUGUGUCCGGGGGAGAGGCCGGCCAUGCCAUGCAGCCUACCUGGGGUGGUGGCCUGGUGGGCUUGCAAGCGUGGGUGGGGCAUGGCGGCGCACUUGCCAAAAUCAUCAAGUACUUUCUUAUUGGUCCUCCAAUUAUUCUCUGUACUGAAGAAUCAUGCUCAUCUGCUGCAGGUUCUUCCGUUACUUUCUCCAACAAUUUCGCUUUACAUUGA
rnacentral:rRNA from 1 species